CCGUGUGAUUCUUGACCAACUGGACAAUGACCCUCAUUCAGACUAUAUCAACGCAAACUACAUUGAUAGUGUCACCUCACCUGCGGAGUAUAUUGCAACGCAAGGCCCGACGGACAAAACCGUAGAUGACCUGUGGCGUAUGCUCUGGCAGCUUAAAUCUGGGAAAGUCGUCAUGCUGACCAAAUUGAUUGAAGGAACAAAGAAAAAGUGUGCAAAAUAUUGGCCUGAGGAGGGAGAACCAAUGUCUACAAAACAUUUCGAUAUCGUCCUGGACAGAGAAAGGGUCUACGCUUUCUAUGUGAUUCGGGAUAUCAUUAUCACAGAA